rnacentral:rRNA from 1 species
UANUUUUUUUUNNNNNNCUCAGGAUGAACGCUGGCGGCGUGCCUAAUACAUGCAAGUCGAACGCUUUGUGGUUCAACUGAUUUGAAGAGCUUGCUCAGAUAUGACGAUGGACAUUGCAAAGAGUGGCGAACGGGUGAGUAACACGUGGGAAACCUACCUCUUAGCAGGGGAUAACAUUUGGAAACAGAUGCUAAUACCGUAUAACAAUAGCAACCGCAUGGUUGCUACUUAAAAGAUGGUUCUGCUAUCACUAAGAGAUGGUCCCGCGGUGCAUUAGUUAGUUGGUGAGGUAAUGGCUCACCAAGACGAUGAUGCAUAGCCGAGUUGAGAGACUGAUCGGCCACAAUGGGACUGAGACACGGCCCAUACUCCUACGGGAGGCAGCAGUAGGGAAUCUUCCACAAUGGGCGAAAGCCUGAUGGAGCAACGCCGCGUGUGUGAUGAAGGGUUUCGGCUCGUAAAACACUGUUGUAAGAGAAGAAUGACAUUGAGAGUAACUGUUCAAUGUGUGACGGUAUCUUACCAGAAAGGAACGGCUAAAUACGUGCCAGCAGCCGCGGUAAUACGUAUGUUCCAAGCGUUAUCCGGAUUUAUUGGGCGUAAAGCGAGCGCAGACGGUUAUUUAAGUCUGAAGUGAAAGCCCUCAGCUCAACUGAGGAAUUGCUUUGGAAACUGGAUGACUUGAGUGCAGUAGAGGAAAGUGGAACUCCAUGUGUAGCGGUGAAAUGCGUAGAUAUAUGGAAGAACACCAGUGGCGAAGGCGGCUUUCUGGACUGUAACUGACGUGNGCUCGAA